GCCGGAGUCGUUCGGCUACCUCUGUCACAGGGGAAACGCGGGUUCGAAACCCGCCACCGGCU
rnacentral:tRNA from 1 species